rnacentral:rRNA from 1 species
GACAAACGCUGGCGGCGUGCUUAACACAUGCAAGUCGAACGAUGAACCCUUCGGGGGAAUUAGUGGCGAACGGGUGAGUAACACGUGGAUAAUCUACCUUACACACUGGGAUAAGCCUGGGAAACUGGGUCUAAUACCGGAUAUGACUAUAGUAAGCAUUUACUAUAGUGGAAAGUUUUUCGGUGUAAGAUGAGUCCGCGGCCUAUCAGUUUGUUGGCGGGGUAACAGCCCACCAAGACUAUGACGGGUAGCCGGCCUGAGAGGGUGAUCGGCCACACUGGGACUGAGAUACGGCCCAGACUCCUACGGGAGGCAGCAGUGGGGAAUAUUGCACAAUGGGCGAAAGCCUGAUGCAGCGACGCCGCGUGGGGGAAGAAGGCCUUCGGGUUGUAAACCUCUUUCGGCAGGGACGAAGCGAAAGUGACGGUACCUGAAGAAGAAGCACCGGCCAACUACGUGCCAGCAGCCGCAGUAAAAC